rnacentral:rRNA from 1 species
UCCAGCAAUGCCGCGUGUGUGAAGAAGGCCUUCGGGUUGUAAAGCACUUUUGUCCGGAAAGAAAUCCUUGGCUCUAAUACAGUCGGGGGAUGACGGUACCGGAAGAAUAAGCACCGGCUAACUACGUGCCAGCAGCCGCGGUAAUACGUAGGGUGCGAGCGUUAAUCGGAAUUACUGGGCGUAAAGCGUGCGCAGGCGGUUUGCUAAGACCGAUGUGAAAUCCCCGGGCUCAACCUGGGAACUGCAUUGGUGACUGGCAGGCUAGAGUAUGGCAGAGGGGGGUAGAAUUCCACGUGUAGCAGUGAAAUGCGUAGAGAUGUGGAGGAAUACCGAUGGCGAAGGCAGCCCCCUGGGCCAAUACUGACGCUCAUGCACGAAAGCGUGGGGAGCAAACAGGAUUAGAUACCCUGGUAGUCCACGCCCUAAACGAUGUCAACUAGUUGUUGGGGAUUCAUUUCCUUAGUAACGUAGCUAACGCGUGAAGUUGACCGCCUGGGGAGUACGGUCGCAAGAUUAAAACUCAAAGGAAUUGACGGGGACCCGCACAAGCGGUGGAUGAUGUGGAUUAAUUCGAUGCAACGCGAAAAACCUUACCUACCCUUGACAUGGUCGGAAUCCUGCUGAG